rnacentral:rRNA from 1 species
CUUGCUUCUCUUGAGAGCGGCGGACGGGUGAGUAAUGCCUAGGAAUCUGCCUGGUAGUGGGGGAUAACGUUCGGAAACGGACGCUAAUACCGCAUACGUCCUACGGGAGAAAGCAGGGGACCUUCGGGCCUUGCGCUAUCAGAUGAGCCUAGGUCGGAUUAGCUAGUUGGUGGGGUAAUGGCUCACCAAGGCGACGAUCCGUAACUGGUCUGAGAGGAUGAUCAGUCACACUGGAACUGAGACACGGUCCAGACUCCUACGGGAGGCAGCAGUGGGGAAUAUUGGACAAUGGGCGAAAGCCUGAUCCAGCCAUGCCGCGUGUGUGAAGAAGGUCUUCGGAUUGUAAAGCACUUUAAGUUGGGAGGAAGGGUUGUAGAUUAAUACUCUGCAAUUUUGACGUUACCGACAGAAUAAGCACCGGCUAACUCUGUGCCAGCAGCCGCGGUAAUACAGAGGGUGCAAGCGUUAAUCGGAAUUACUGGGCGUAAAGCGCGCGUAGGUGGUUUGUUAAGUUGGAUGUGAAAUCCCCGGGCUCAACCUGGGAACUGCAUUCAAAACUGACUGACUAGAGUAUGGUAGAGGGUGGUGGAAUUUCCUGUGUAGCGGUGAAAUGCGUAGAUAUAGGAAGGAACACCAGUGGCGAAGGCGACCACCUGGACUAAUACUGACACUGAGGUGCGAAAGCGUGGGGAGCAACAGGAUUAGAUACCCUGGUAGUCCACGCCGUAAACGAUGUCAAUUAGCCGUUGGAAGCCCUUGAGCUUUU